CAUAAUCUUAAUCGUCACAGUGUCAGGGAGGUGGGGCUGAUGCUAGAAAGAACAGCACACGGAGUUUCCAGAAAGGUCAGCUGUACUCUCAGUUCAUCCCGUACAAGAGAGGGGGUGAGUAGGAGGCGAAUAGCAACACAGGACAUCAGACAUGGAAAUAGCAGAGAAGGUCCUGAGCAUAGCCCAGGUCAUCUACACCCAGUGUGAACAUGUGAAGUACUGUCAGUCCCAGUGCAAACGCCUCAGGGACCGCAUUCAAACCCUAAUGAGACCUAUAAUGACUCUCAAGGCGCAGACUCCACAACAAAUCUCCCCUCAAGUAGAAAAGACCCUGAAGGGACUGUUGAAGACUUUGGAGAAGGCCCAGGAGCUGGUGACAAAGUACAGCCAGAAGACAUGGCUACAGAAGUUCUUUCAAGCCAGUGAUAUUAAAGAAGAGUUCAUGCAGGUGAAUGUGUGUCUUGGAGAUGCUGCUCAAGGGCUCUCACUCCUACUGCAGGCUGAGCAGCAGCAGUCCUUCCUAAAGGUCUUCCAGCAAGACACCUGCAACAAGGAGGAUGACAAGGACAUCAAGGCCGAUAAGGCCUUCUUGGAAGAGCUGCUUGCAAGCAGCAAAGAAACAAGAGAUGCAGUGGAUGAUGUCCAUAACAGUGUGAAAAAUAUGGAUGGCAAGGUGGAAGAACUUACCCAAAUGGUGAAAAUGUUUGUAGAAGAAUCAAGCAUGAAACAAGACAACACAGUUCCAAGAAAGGAAGUAGUUGAGAUUAUGAUAGAGAAUCUAAUUAAGACCCCAUGGACCCUCCUGACGGAAACCAGAAGCCAUGUGAUUUACAAAGGAGAGUACCACAAAUGCCCUGUUGCCAUCAAAGUCUUCCAAAAUCCAGUAAUCACCUGUGCCAUGACAGUGAGGGACAUUUUCAAGAAGGAGAUUGAAACCAUGAAGAUCUUUGAAUCUCCAAACAUCCUCCGUAUGUAUGGAAUAUGCAUUGAUGAGAGAGAGUCAAGACCUCAUUUCUCUAUUGUUAUGGAGUAUUGUAGAUAUGGGACCUUGAGAGAGGUCUUAACAAAAAACCCUGAGCUCUCCUGGGAUGAUCGCAUUCAGAUGGCACUGGAUGUAGCCAGAGGUAUCUACAGGUUGCAUCAUACAGAGGUGAAGCCUAGAUUGCAUGGAAGUAUCAGUAGCAUCAAGUUCCUUGUUGCUGAAGGUUACUGUGUGAAGAAGGAUGUCAUGAUCUCCAAAGUAACAACUCAGGCACCCACCGUUUCAUUGUUACCUACAGAAACAGCAUUGUGUAUUUGCACGUGUGAAUUAUGUAAUUCACAUUACAUAAUUACAUAAUACACAGCUGCACGUUUACACAGCACUGUCCUCUUCAAGCCUUCGUGCCACAUCCUCUCCCAGGACAGUCAUCCAGAAGAGUGUCUUUUGUUAGUUAUUUAAUUAUGGUGACAUUAAAUUAAGUCCAUUUUACACAACUCCCAAAUUUGAUGUAUGUACAAUCUUGUACUGAAAAUAUACUGCUCCAUCUCUCAUACUGUAAGGAUUUCCUGCUGGCUUUGUGAGGAAUAUCUGGUGUGUGUCUUUGAAAAUCAGAUCAGUGUCUUAUUGAUUAUUACUACUAAUAAUUUGUACAGUAGAACCUGAAUCAUUCACAAAUGGGUGGUUUGUAGCCCACUUGAUAAAUAGCAGGUUGCCAAAUUAAAAAUGAAAUACUCAGCUGUUUGUGGUAGCUUUUAUGCCAAAGGCAGGGCACCACUUCUCCAAUCAGCUGAAGCUCUUCAGUGGUCUGACACAACUAAUCAGAAAGUGAAUGUUUCAGAAAAAAAUGCUAGAGCACCUCAGCAGCCCCCUGCAGAUGUUUAUAUGCCUGGUUACUUUGUAAACGCUCAUCUUUGAUGGGGAUGGAGAGAGAUAACAGUGUUUAUGAACCUAAUCCUGUGAAGGAUCCAGGUUCUACUGUAUUACCAUAACGAGUGGGCCUCAGGACCCCACUGUAUUAUGUGCUGUACAAACAUGAAACCUAAAAGUUGUCCUUGUUCCAAACUUAGACUUAGUUGUCUAAAAAAUGGAUAUAGGUUCCUAUCUUUAAAAUCCCACAUUUCCACAUGUUGGUUUCAGUGAGUGUAUUUCUAUCAGCUGUUGUUUGCUGCCAUGCAUAAAUGUGACUGCUUGUACAGGGAUAACACACAGUAAAUUAUAUAUUGUCAUAAAUAAGGUAAGAAGGAAAACAAGCAGAAGGGAGUGUUGAGACAGGUUUUGAAUAACAACGUGGAAUUUUAAACAGAGUGAGAAGCCAUCUAGUAUCCAUCAUCCCUGACAACAAAGCCCAGUAGGAAAGCCCAGUCCAAAUAGGCCCAGUAGGAAAAACUGUUAAUAGACAGAGCUCAGUGGUGUGAAUAAUGUUUGGAAAUGCUGAAUUAGUGCAAAACACAGUGAUGUCAGUCAGGUAGAGUACCUUAACCCCUCUUUCCAGGGAUUUAUCAAUUUUCUCUGCAUCCUGAAGGAUCCUCACCCUCACCUCCUUACUCUUAUACAUACUGGGCAUGUCUACACAUGAACCGUUACUGCACAGUAACCAAAAAUUACUGCAUGGUACGGGUGCGCAUCUACACGUGUGUGCCCGUAACGCGCAUAACUAUGGCGACUUAUGCUGAUUUGGGCAUAAAUUUGCUACCUGCAUGAUGCAGGUAGCAAAUUUAUGCCUAAGUAGUUACUGCACAGUAAGGCACAUGUAGACGCUUUACUGUGCAGUAACCCUGUUUGUGUGGACUUACAUGGCACUAACUUUAGUCCCAAGUCAGUCCACACACAGCAUUACUAUGCUGUAACGUGUAGAUGCCAAGCAUAAAAGCUGCUUUUAUAUGUGUAUAAUACAUGUGUAGACAUGCCCACUGACUCCUUUAAGUGAUAAAAGGCUUGGAAGGUAAGUCAUAUGAAGUGAAGUUGAAAGAAAUAGGCAUGUUCAGCUUGUGGAAAAAGUAAGAGGGGAAGUUAUUUAAAUCUUUAAAUAUUUGAAAGGGUAUGUAACAGGGGACCUGAGCCCUGUUACUCAGUCAAAGGAGUGAAGAGAGAGGAGGUCUUAAUCAGAGUACCCAAUGCCUGUGUGAAAGCAAGGGGGAACUCUGACUGAUGACAGCAAAGGGAGAACUGAGAAUAACUCCAGAGAGAGAAAGACAGAGAUUGUAGCAGUCAUUUCUGGCUGAAAGGGCCCAUGCCAGCCAGUGUCCUAUUGCUUUAAGCAGACCAAGCAGCAGGAGCACGGGUGGCCCUUUGACUGACAGCCCCUGUGGAGUGGGGAGGACAGAGCAAGGGAUUGGAAGGGAGAGGGGCUCCAUACACAUAAGCCCUGCCCCCAAAGCUGGAGCUAGCAGUGAGGCUCUGCGGCUGGCAGGGGAAGCAGCUCUCCAAGGAGGGCAGCAGCCCAACAGCCUUUUGCUUUCUUCUGAUACUUGUUUACAAGGUGUGGGAAGACUGUUGUUAAAGUGAUAGCUCACUUGCUUUCGAUGUACUGUUUACCCAGAGUGGGAAGGGUUUUUUGUUAAAGCAAUGGGUUGCCUUUGUUAGAGUUGACCGGUAGACAGGAGUGACUAUAAGGAGUGAAUGAGGAGACCAUAGUGGGGUGCUGGCUGGGCACAGCCAAGCUUAGAACCCUGCCAGGGAAGGGUGUAAGCCAGAGAGGGGUGAAACCAGGGCCAUUGUCCCAGAAUCUGUGUGUCCCAGAAUCAUAAGAUGGGACCCGGUGCCAUGGGCCUGAGCUAAAGGAGCCCAACUAGAAAAAAGGGGGCAGAGACCAGAAAGGUGAAGACUCUGACAAAAGCUUGGAGGCCUGGGGAGACCAGAGAGUGUACUGAGGCAAGGUGCCUCAUGAUGAGCAAUAACUGGUAGCACCUGCAAAGCAUGGGCCUGGGUGUAAGAGCCCUUGUGGCAAGUAGGAUCUAAGGAAAUGACCACAGGGAAAAAGAAAAGAGAUCAUCGUAGACUCACCAGCCUCCUCCCCUCAUUACAAGUAACAAAAAAGCAUGGUAGGUGAGGAAGCAGGGCAAGAUCCCAGGAGGCAAGAGCAAGAGCCAGACAGGACUGAGGUGGCCACUAGGGGGCAUCACAGUAAUGCCAGGCACCUUACCUAUUACAGGGUACCAUAAAGAAGAGGGAGAAUACCUUUUCUCUAUCACUGCAGAUUAAGAUGUGUAGCAAUGGCUUGAAGUUGCCAAAGUAGGCCCAGAGCAGCUGAAAAUUGGAAGGACCAUGCUCAGCAUCAAGAGAAUGAAACAGAGGUCCACAACCAGCUUGGUUACAAAGAAGAUUAAAAGAGCCUGAAUAAGUUUAUGGAGUAGAAAGGAUUACAGAAAGGGAAGUUUUGGCUCACCAGCUAGGGAGUGUGAUGUGUGGAGUUGUUUGCUAUCCCCAGAUUGCAGAGUAGAGUGGAGUCUAUUUGGUUUUUCCAUAGUUCUGAAUUUUGCUGGCUGUUACAUGAAGCUGGGAAGGAUUUUCCCCCCUUCCUGUUCCUACAGCAGUCACAGGUAUUUUCUGGCAUCCUCAGAAGCAUUGUAUGGCUGGCUGCAGCCAAGACUGAAGUCAAGACUGGGUGUGCCAACAAUCCUUCUGGGACUGAAACUCGGAGGCUUCUGGUAAGAGGGUUGUGACAAAAAUAUAACCCCAGAAAGGAACUUACCUGGGGAAGAAAAUGAGCAGAGCUGGUGCAAGGCCACGCUGAGCCGAGGAAGCAGCGGGCAUGGAGCUGUGGCCGGAGACAGCACUGUGCCAGAAGAAAAAGCCCCCCAAAAAACAGCUGAUCCAGGAGAAGCCAGGAUUGACUUCUGUGCCGGCGUAGGCGUGCUUUAUGGCCAUGUGCCAGUGCCGAUUCGCUGGCUGGCCCACGGAACAGGGAAUAAAAACCCCUCGGGAUGGGAAGCCCAGGGGACUGGAAGUGGGUUCCCUUGCAGGUACCCAAUGACCCAGAGCAGAGCCAUGCCCCACUGAGGGAAAGUGGUGGCAGCCCUAAGAGGGGGUUUCUGGAGAUUUUUCAAGCCCAGAAAGACAGUAUUACUUACCUGAGGCAGAGCCGUGGAUUCCUGUUGUCUCUUGAACGGAUUGGGUUCACCAGUAACCUGCAGAGAGAUGGAGAGACAGCUGUCCAUGCCACCGCAAUGACAGAGUAAGGAAAAUGGAACUGACACUGGGAGUCAAGGUAACCCAGGGCUGGGAGGAGACGAGGUCAGGCCCACUGAGGCAAAAGCUGAGUGAGGCUAACUGACGUCCAUACAUGUUUAUACAGUUUCAAACAGUCAAGACACAUGUACCAACACCGUGACCAACCCCAGAAGACCGGGAUUCAACAUCAUUGGUUGGCAUUAGGUGGGGUGUAGGAGAGGCGGAGCCCCGAAAUGGGAAGACUGAUGGGAGGAUUGAAGGAGGGGACCAGGAGGUACAGAACAUACAUCUUCCUCCCUACUAAAUACAUUUAUUCCAGCAAAAACAUGGCAGGCGAGAACCACUGAGGACCCUCUGGAAUCCGACUCGAUAAUUGACCAUCUUUCCUGCGGACAAUGGUGACAUCCGAUAAACCGGUACGCACCAGACAUUCUGGUGAAUGGCACGGCUGAUUACAAGGGUCUUGCCCCUCCACUUAGAGUCAGAGUUAUCACGACAUUUGAGACCAGGAAAGAAUUUCAUCUCACAGCCAGAUUGGCAUGGACUAUGGGGAGCUUUGCCUUCCUCUGUAGCAAGGGGCCUAGUCCUCUUCCUUGGAGCUCUUAAGCAUAUUUUAACAGUCCUUACAGCAAUGGGAUAUGCACAAUGCCUUCAUUCCCCUGCUCUACCUGAGGCAGCUGUCAGGAUUUGAGUUAUGUAAAACAGAGUCCUCCAUCAAACGGAACUACAAAGAAAAGAAAUCAAGACAAGUCUCUCCCUCGGCCUAUACCUCCCCUCAGGGCCUGGCCUCAUUGAGCCACAUCUAUGACUUGC